rnacentral:rRNA from 1 species
GAUCAUGGCUCAGGAUGAACGCUGGCGGCGUGCUUAACACAUGCAAGUCGAACGGAGUUUACAUGAAACCUAGUGAUUGUAAACUUAGUGGCGGACGGGUGAGUAACGCGUGGGUAACCUGCCGUAUACCGGGGGAUAACACUUAGAAAUAGGUGCUAAUACCGCAUAAGCGCACGAGAUCGCAUGAUUUUGUGUGAAAAACUCCGGUGGUAUACGAUGGACCCGCGUCUGAUUAGAUAGUUGGUGAGGUAACGGCCCACCAAGUCAACGAUCAGUAGCCGGCCUGAGAGGGUGAACGGCCACAUUGGGACUGAGACACGGCCCAAACUCCUACGGGAGGCAGCAGUGGGGAAUAUUGGACAAUGGGGGCAACCCUGAAUCCAGCGACGCCGCGUGAGUGAAGAAGUAUUUCGGUAUGUAAAGCUCUAUCAGCAGGGAAGAAAAUGACGGUACCUGACUAAGAAGCCCCGGCUAACUACGUGCCAGCCGCGGC